rnacentral:rRNA from 1 species
AGAGUUUGAUCCUGGCUCAGGACGAACGCUGGCGGCGUGCCUAAUACAUGCAAGUAGAACGCUGAAGAGAGGAGCUUGCUCUUCUUGGAUGAGUUGCGAACGGGUGAGUAACGCGUAGGUAACCUGCCUUGUAGCGGGGGAUAACUAUUGGAAACGAUAGCUAAUACCGCAUAACAAUGGAUGACACAUGUCAUUUAUUUGAAAGGGGCAAUUGCUCCACUACAAGAUGGACCUGCGUUGUAUUAGCUAGUAGGUGAGGUAACGGCUCACCUAGGCGACGAUACAUAGCCGACCUGAGAGGGUGAUCGGCCACACUGGGACUGAGACACGGCCCAGACUCCUACGGGAGGCAGCAGUAGGGAAUCUUCGGCAAUGGGGGCAACCCUGACCGAGCAACGCCGCGUGAGUGAAGAAGGUUUUCGGAUCGUAAAGCUCUGUUGUAAGUCAAGAACGAGUGUGAGAGUGGAAAGUUCACACUGUGACGGUAGCUUACCAGAAAGGGACGGCUAACUACGUGCCAGCAGCCGCGGUAAUACGUAGGUCCCGAGCGUUGUCCGGAUUUAUUGGGCGUAAAGCGAGCGCAGGCGGUUUGAUAAGUCUGAAGUUAAAGGCUGUGGCUCAACCAUAGUUCGCUUUGGAAACUGUCAAACUUGAGUGCAGAAGGGGAGAGUGGAAUUCCAUGUGUAGCGGUGAAAUGCGUAGAUAUAUGGAGGAACACCGGUGGCGAAAGCGGCUCUCUGGUCUGUAACUGACGCUGAGGCUCGAAAGCGUGGGGAGCGAACAGGAUUAGAUACCCUGGUAGUCCACGCCGUAAACGAUGAGUGCUAGGUGUUGGAUCCUUUCCGGGAUUCAGCGCCGCAGCUAACGCAUUAAGCACUCCGCCUGGGGAGUACGACCGCAAGGUUGAAACUCAAAGGAAUUGACGGGGGCCCGCACAAGCGGUGGAGCAUGUGGUUUAAUUCGAAGCAACGCGAAGAACCUUACCAGGUCUUGACAUCCCGAUGCUAUUUCUAGAGAUAGAAAGUUACUUCGGUACAUCGGUGACAGGUGGUGCAUGGUUGUCGUCAGCUCGUGUCGUGAGAUGUUGGGUUAAGUCCCGCAACGAGCGCAACCUCUAUUGUUAGUUGCCAUCAUUCAGUUGGGCACUCUAGCGAGACUGCCGGUAAUAAACCGGAGGAAGGUGGGGAUGACGUCAAAUCAUCAUGCCCCUUAUGACCUGGGCUACACACGUGCUACAAUGGUUGGUACAACGAGUUGCGAGUCGGUGACGGCGAGCUAAUCUCUUAAAGCCAAUCUCAGUUCGGAUUGUAGGCUGCAACUCGCCUACAUGAAGUCGGAAUCGCUAGUAAUCGCGGAUCAGCACGCCGCGGUGAAUACGUUCCCGGGCCUUGCACUCACCGCCCGUCAA